rnacentral:rRNA from 1 species
UAGGGAAUCUUCGGCAAUGGACGAAAGUCUGACCGAGCAACGCCGCGUGAGUGAAGAAGGUUUUCGGAUCGUAAAACUCUGUUGUUAGAGAAGAACAAGGAUGAGAGUAACUGUUCAUCCCUUGACGGUAUCUAACCAGAAAGCCACGGCUAACUACGUGCCAGCAGCCGCGGUAAUACGUAGGUGGCAAGCGUUGUCCGGAUUUAUUGGGCGUAAAGCGAGCGCAGGCGGUUUCUUAAGUCUGAUGUGAAAGCCCCCGGCUCAACCGGGGAGGGUCAUUGGAAACUGGCAGGCUAGAGUCUUGUAGAGGGGGGUAGAAUUCCAGGUGUAGCGGUGAAAUGCGUAGAUAUAUGGAGGAACACCAGUGGCGAAGGCGGCUCUCUGGUCUGUAACUGACGCUGAGGCUCGAAAGCGUGGGGAGCAAACAGG